AUGUACGUUUAUGUAUUUGCAAAGACCUACAAACGAGACCAGGACAAGAAAAAUGCUGAGACCGCAGCAGCAGCAGCAGCUGCAGCAGCAUUGUCAGCCCCACCUGCUGCAGUUGCUAAGCAUGCAGAGCCUGCUCCUCCGCCGAAAAGAGUACUCCCACCUUUAUCCGAAGAUGAGCAGCGCAAGGUCUACAAGUGGAUGCUGGAAGAGAAGCGGAAGAGCAAACCACGUGACGCUGCUGAGAAGAGCAAAAUCAAUGAGGAGAAGGCUCUUCUCAAGGAGAUCAUCAGGGCAGAGUCUCUCCCUCGUUUGUGGUGA
rnacentral:rRNA from 1 species